GAUGAACGCUGGCGGCGUGCCUAACACAUGCAAGUCGAGCGGCAGCGAGGGGUGCUUGCACCCUGUCGGCGAGCGGCGGACGGCUGAGUAACGCGUGGGAACGUGCCCCAAAGUGAGGAAUAACUGCCCGAAAGGGUAGCUAAUACCGCAUAUUAUCUUCGGAUCAAAGGAUUUAUCCGCUUUGGGAGCGGCUCGCGUCGGAUUAGGUAGUUGGUGAGGUAAUGGCUCACCAAGCCGACGAUCCGUAGCUGGUCUGAGAGGAUGACCAGCCAGACUGGAACUGAGACACGGUCCAGACUCCUACGGGAGGAAGCAGUGAGGAAUCUUCCACAAUGGGCGAAAGCCUGAUGGAGCAACGCCGCGUGCAGGACGAAGGCCUUCGGGUUGUAAACUGCUUUUAUAAGUGAGGAAUAUGACGGUAACUUAUGAAUAAGGAUCGGCUAACUACGUG
rnacentral:rRNA from 1 species